GCUACGGGCGGCAGCAGUGAGGAAUAUUGGUCAAUGGACGCAAGUCUGAACCAGCCAUGCCGCGUGCAGGAUGACGGCUCUAUGAGUUGUAAACCUCUUUUGUCAGGGAGCAAAGGGCGCCACGUGUGGCGUUUUGCGAGUACCUGAAGAAAAAGCAUCGGCUAACUCCGUGCCAGCAGCCGCGGUAAUACGGAGGAUGCGAGCGUUAUCCGGGUUUAUUGGGUUUAAAGGGUGCGCAGGCGGAAUGUCAAGUCAGCGGUAAAAUUUCGGGGCUCAACCCCGUCGUGCCGUUGAAACUGGCGUUCUUGAGUGAGCGAGAAGUAUGCGGAAUGCGUGGUGUAGCGGUGAAAUGCAUAGAUAUCACGCAGAACUCCGAUUGCGAAGGCAGCAUACCGGCGCUCAACUGACGCUCAUGCACGAAAGCGUGGGUAUCGAACAGGAUUAGAUACCCCUGUAGUC
rnacentral:rRNA from 1 species